rnacentral:rRNA from 1 species
UACGUAGGGGGCUAGCGUUGUCCGGAAUCAUUGGGCGUAAAGAGCGUGUAGGCGGCUCGGUAAGUCCGCUGUGAAAGUCGGGGGCUCAACCCUCGAAUGCCGGUGGAUACUGUCGAGCUAGAGUGCGGAAGAGGCGAGUGGAAUUCCUGGUGUAGCGGUGAAAUGCGCAGAUAUCAGGAGGAACACCAGCAGCGAAGGCGGCGCUCUGGGCUGGAACUGACGCUGAGGAGCGAAAGCGUGGGUAGCAAACAGG